GUUAGGAAUAUUGGACAAUGGGCGCAAGCCUGAUCCAGCCAUGCCGCGUGAGUGAUGAAGGCCUUCGGGUUGUAAAGCUCUUUAGCCGAUGAUUAUAAUGACUGUAGUCGGAAAAUAAGCCCCGGCUAACUUCGUGCCAGCAGCCGCGGCAAUACGAAGGGGGCGAGCGUUAUUCGGAAUCACUGGGCGUAAAGCGUGCGUAGGCGGCUUUGCAAGUUGGGAGUGAAAGCCCAGGGCUCAACCCUGGAAUUGCUCUCAAAACUGCAAGGCUCGAAUUCGGGAGAGGAUAGCGGAAUUGUCAGUGUAGCAGUGAAAUGCGUAGAUAUUAACAGGAACACCAGUGGCGUAAGCGGCUAUCUGGACCGAUAUUGACGCUGAGGCACGAAAGCGUGGGGAUCAAACAGGAUUAGAUACCCGGGUAGUCC
rnacentral:rRNA from 1 species